GCGCAAGCUAGCAGUACUCAUGCAGUCGAGCGGUAACAGGGGGUGCUUGCACCCCGCUGACGAGCGGCGGACGGGUGAGUAAUGCAUAGGAAACUGCCCAGUAGUGGGGGAUAGCCCGGGGAAACCCGGAUUAAUACCGCGUACGCCCUUCGGGGGAAAGCAGGGGAUCUUCGGACCUUGCGCUAUUGGAUGUGCCUAUGUCGGAUUAGCUAGUUGGUGGGGUAAAGGCCUACCAAGGCGACGAUCCGUAGCUGGUCUGAGAGGAUGAUCAGCCACAUCGGGACUGAGACACGGCCCGAACUCCUACGGGAGGCAGCAGUGGGGAAUAUUGGACAAUGGGGGCAACCCUGAUCCAGCCAUGCCGCGUGUGUGAAGAAGGCUUUCGGGUUGUAAAGCACUUUCAGUGAGGAGGAAAACUCUGCGACUAAUACUCGUAGGGCUUGACGUUACUCACAGAAGAAGCACCGGCUAACUCCGUGCCAGCAGCCGCGGUAAUACGGAGGGUGCAAGCGUUAAUCGGAAUUACUGGGCGUAAAGCGCGCGUAGGUGGUUUGAUAAGCGAGAUGUGAAAGCCCCGGGCUUAACCUGGGAACGGCAUUU
rnacentral:rRNA from 1 species